UUCGGUAGUUAGAAGGCUGAAAUUCGCCUUCAUGAAGCCGGAAUUGCUAGUAAUGGCAGGUCAGCAUACUGCCGUGAAUACGUUCCCGGGCCUUGUACACACCGCCCGUCACACCAUGAGAGUUGGGAAUACCCGAAGCCUGUGAGCUAACUUUUAGAGGCAGCAGUCGAAGGUAGAAUCAAUGAUUGGGGUGAAGUCGUAACAAGGUAGC
rnacentral:rRNA from 1 species